GGGGGAAUAUUGGGGCAAUGGGGCGAAAGCCUGACCCAGCAACGCCGCGUGAAGGAAGAAGGUUUUCGGAUUGUAAACUUCUGUCCUAAGUGACGAAGGAAGUGACGGUAGCUUAGGAGGAAGCCCCGGCUAACUACGUGCCAGCAGCCGCGGUAAUACGUAGGGGGCGAGCGUUGUCCGGAAUGACUGGGCGUAAAGGGCGUGUAGGCGGCCGAUUAAGUCUGAAGUGAAAGUCCUGCUUUCAAGGUGGGAAUUGCUUUGGAGACUGGUCGGCUUGAGUGCGGAAGAGGUAAGUGGAAUUCCCAGUGUAGCGGUGAAAUGCGUAGAGA
rnacentral:rRNA from 1 species